GGCGAGGGAAUGCGGAUCCAGGAUCCAACAAAACCCCUGGCACAGCUGUGGGAUCGUUGCCGGGAGCUGAAGGGCCCGACAGCCCCCGGAGCCACUUCCAAGGGCUCCUGGGAAAGUGGGAUCCAAUUUCCUCAUCCCGCUCUCCUGAGGACUCUUCCCUCUCCUGCUGCCGCCGGGAGACCCCGCGGAGGGCGCAGGAUCCCGCAGUUCCCGGGAUUCUGGGGUACGGCAGCAGGAUUUGGGGUAAAACAGUAGGAUUUUGGGAUAAAACUGGAAUUUGGGGCAAAACAGCAGGAUUUUAGGGUAAAGCAGUAGGAUUUUGGGGUAAAAAUGGGAUUUUAGGGUAAACCAGCAGGAUUUGGGGUAAAACUGAGAUAUGGGGCAAAAGAGCUGGAUUUUGGAGUAAAGCAGCAGGAUUUGGGAUAAAACUGGAAUUUGGGGCAAAACAGUAGGAUUUUGGGGUAAAGCAGCAGGAUUUGAGGUGAAAAUGGGAUUUUAGGGUAAAACACCAGGAUUUUAGGGUAAAGCAGAAGGAUUUGGGGUAAAACUGGAAUUUUAGGGUAAAACACCAGGAUUUUAGGGUAAAGCAGUAGGAUUUUAGGGUAAACAAGCAGGAUUUGGGGUAAAAGUGGGAUUUUGGGCAAAAGAGUAAGAUUUUGAAGUAAAGCAGCAGGAUCUGGGGUAAAACUGGGAUUUUAGGGUAAACCAGCAGGAUUUUGGGGAACAGCAGCGGGAUUUGGGGCAAAACUGGGAUUUGGGGCAAACCAGCCAGAAUGUGGAGUAAAACUGGGAUUUUAGGGUAAAACACCAAGAUUUUGGGGUAAAGCAGUAGGAUUUUGGGAUAAAAAUGAGAUUUUAGAGUAAAACACCAGGAUUUGAGAUAAAACUGGGAUUUUAGGGUAAAACAGUAAGAUUUUAGGGUAAACAAGCAGGAUUUGAGGUAAAAGUGGGAUUUGGGGCAAAAGAGUAAGAUUUUGAAGUAAAGCAGCAGGAUCUGGGGUAAAACUGGGAUUUUAGGGUAAACCAGCAGGAUUUUGGGGCAGAGCAGCAAGAUUUUGGGGUGAAACUGGGAUUUCGGGGUAAAACACCAGGCUUUUGGGGUAAAAAUGAGAUUUUAGGGUAAAGCAGCAGGAUUUUGGAGUGAAGCAGCAGGAUCUGGGGUAAAACUGGGAUUUUAGGUCCCUUCCAACCCAACCCAUCCCAUGGUUCCUUUCUGAUUCCAAGGAAGCAGAAGCGGAAGACGACAAGAACUCUUUCCUGAUAAUUAAUUAUUAGGAAUAUUAUGAAGAAUUAAUAAUUCUCGAGGACUGAUGAGCAGGUUUCGAGCAGAGGAAAGAAGGAGAGGAGCUCUGAUUCCCCCUGCCUGGAUGGGAAUCCAUGGGAAAGCCUUUUGGGAUCGUCCCUCAUCACAGCGGUCUGGCCCAGAAGGGGCCACGGCAGAAUCCGGCCCAGGAAUCCCCCUCCCGACUGACCUGGCUUUUCACUGGAAUAUUUGCACCUCAACAUUAAUUAAAUAAGGAUUUUAAGCCUGGCUUAAGCAGGGGAGAGAGGGAAGGGGCCACAGGACAGGCUUAAAAAGAGUUCUGGCCCAGAGGGGCCCCAUAAAUCCCUUUCCUGCCUCAGCCCUGCCGCAUCCCGAGUAUCCCGCGGGAUUCCUUCCCGGCUCAGUAGGCUCAGGACUAAGUGAAAACGAGGCUGUUUUCGGGAUCAUUAAAGCCUGACUGAGAGUCCAUAAAUUCCCACGGCACAGGCAGGGAACUGUUGGGCUGAGCCAACAGCAGGGACUCGACUCCACACAGGCAGCUCCGGAAUCUUCUCCGGAGACGCGCAGUUGUGCCUCCCGGAUUCCUUCCCCCUCCAGAUAUUCCGGGGUUGCUCCUGAGUGUUCUGAACUCCAAAUAUUCCAGGGCUGAUCUGCUCCCGAGUUUUCCAAAAUCCAAAUAUUCCAGGGCUGCUCCUGAGUGUUCUGAGCUCCAAAUAUUCCAGAGCUGCUCCCGAGUUUUCCAAACUCCAAAUAUUCCAGGACUGAUCUGCUCCCGACUGUUCUGAGCUUCAAAUAUUCCAGGGCUUCUCCUGAGUGUUCUGAGCUCCAAAUAUUCCAGGGCUGCUCCCGACUGUUCUGAGCUCCAAAUAUUCCAGGGCUUCUCCCCAGUGUUCUGAGCUCCAAAUAUUCCAGGGCUGCUCCCGACUGUUCUGAGCUCCAAAUAUUCCAGGGCUGCUCCCGACUGUUCUGAGCUCCAAAUAUUCCAGGGCUGCUCCCGAGUGUUCUGAGCUCCAGAUAUUCCAGGGCUGCUCCCGACUGUUCUGAGAUCCAAAUAUUCCAGGGCUGCUCCUGACUGUUCUGAGCUCCAAAUAUUCCAGGGCUGCUCCCGACUGUUCUGAGCUCCAAAUAUUCCAGGGCUGCUCCCAACUGUUCUGAACUCCAAAUAUUCCAGGGUUGAUCUGCUCCUGAGUUUUCCAAACUCCAAAUAUUCCAGGACUGCUCCCGACUGUUCUGAGCUCCAAAUAUUCCAGAGCUGCUCCCGAGUUUUCAAAACUCCAAAUAUUCCAAGACUGAUCUGCUCCCGAGUUUUCCAAACUCCAAAUAUUCCAGGGCUGUUCCGAACUUGCCUCAAUUCACGUGCCAGCUGCAGUUUUGGCCACAGCAAAGCCUCUUCCAGGGUUUUUUUUUUGGGGAGUAAACACCUGGAUCAGUGGAAAAAGGAGCCCUGGAUAAUCUGUGGGAUCCCUGGUGAGUGGGGAUUGUCCUUCAAGGAUGCUCCAUCCCUGGAAGUGUCCAAGGGCAGUUUGGAUUCCCUUGGAGCAACCUGGGAUAGCAGAAGGUGCCAGGGUUGGAAAUGGAUGAUCCUUAAGGUCUCUUCCCAUUCCAUGACACUGGAGAACAUUCCCAAAAGCUAAUUCUAGUUUCCAGAGGAUUUUCACCUCCCGGGAUCUUCAGGGACUCGUUGCCAAUUCCCGAAUGGAAAAAUAAUCCCCUUUGCUGCCGGGAUCGCUGUGGGGUUCUUCAAUUAAGAAAUUAAAUUAAACUAAAUUAAAUUAAAUUAAGAACCUUCUCCUGAUUGCUCUGAUGUUCCCAGGUGGGAAAAAACGCCACUUUUCCCGUCUCCUCAAUGCCGGGUUAUCCCAGACCCUCUGCCUUCUCCCCAUCGUUCCAUUUCCCGGUGGCUGGUUGGGAUUCCCAGGAAACAGCCUCGUGUUUCCCUUCUCUGGGCAACCCCGGCGGAAAAUGGGAAUAAAAUUCCAUUUUUCUUUAAAAGGUUGGGAAUGUUUUUGCUUCUUGAGAAGCGGAGCACCGGAGAGGAUUUGGGAUACUUGGAAAUCACAAGGGUGGGAUUGAAGGGGAGUUUUGAGCUCCACACCUUCAGCUCUCUGCUGGAAAACCCUGGAUUGGGGAUUGGAGGAGUUCUGGAUCAUCCCUGGAAUCGCCCUCCAGCCUCCUGAGCAAUCCCGGCUCCGUUUAAAUCCCCCCUGGAUUGGAUGGGAAGGCCAAGAGAGGCAGAGCCUUCGGGAUGGGGCUGAUCCGCCAACUUGGGAAAGGAAAACGAGGAAACCACACCAAAUAAACGGGAUUAAAACAAGGAAACCACUCCACAGAAACGGGAAUAAAACAAGGAAACCACUCCACAUAAACGGGAUUAAAACAAGGAAACCACUCCACAGAAACGGGAAUAAAACAAGGAAACCACUCCACAUAAACAGGAAUAAAACAAGGAAAUGACACUACAUAAAAAGGAAUAAAACAAGGAAACCACCCCACAAAUACAGGAGGAAAACAAGGAAAUCACUCCACAGAAACAGGAAUUAAAGUGAAGGAACCACACCAAAUAAACAGGAAUAAAACAAGGAAACUAUUCCACAAAAACAGGAAUAAAAGUGAAGGAACCACACCACAAAACCAGGAAUAAAACAAGGAAACCACUGCACAUAAACAGAAAUUAAAGUGAUGGAACCACACCAAAUAAACAGGAAUAAAACAAGGAAACCACAGCAAAUAAACAGGAAUAAAACAAGGAAACUGCUCCACAUAAACAGGAAUAAAAGUGAAGAAACCACACCAGAUAAACAGGAAUAAAACAAGGAAACCAUUCCACAGAAACGGGAAUAAAACAAGGAAACCACUCCACAUAAACGGGAAUAAAAGUGAAGGAACCACAGCAAAUAAACAGGAAUAAAACAAGAAACCACACCAAAGAAACAGGAAUAAAACAAGGAACCAAACCAAAUAAAACAGGAAUAAAACAAGGAAACCACACCAAAUAAAACAGGAAUAAAACAAGGAAAUCACUUCACAUAAACAGGACUAAAAGUGAAGGAACCACUCCACAUAAACAAGGCUCUGAAACGGCCGUGUUUUUUGGCCGGGCCACGUUUCAGUUCUCUCCAAGAAUCUGAACAGGAAAUAAUUUAAAAUAAUUAGGAAUUAACGUUUCCUUUCGGUGAGGUCGUGCUGGGUAAGGUUUAAACCCAGCGCCAGCGGAGGGAAAACCGCCCGCCAAUGCCUCGGGAUGAACCCGGAGCUGAUGGAUCUCCGGCUCCAGACCGACAACAUUAAAUAUUUAGGAGCGAACGGCGCAAUUCCCGGGAGAUUUUAACGGGGACAGUGACAUGUGGAUGUUCCUCAAGCCCGGAUUUGUCAGGCUGGGUGUGGGGUUUAGGCUUUGUCACGUCUUGAGGCGUCUUCCUGAGACAGUCGUGGGAAUAUCCAACCAGCGGGGUCGGUAUCCCCGGGACACGGGGGAUUUGGGAUGAGUCACGGAGCGGGUGAGACAUCCACGAUCCCGUUCCUUCCCUGGGGGCUCCGAGAUUUCAAACACUGCUCCCAUGGGA